rnacentral:rRNA from 1 species
UCGAACGGUAUAAACCUUUCGGGGUUUAGAGAGUGGCGAACGGGUGAGUAACACGUAGGUAAUCUACCCUCAAAACGGGGACAACCCAGGGAAACUUGGGGCUAAUACCGGAUGCGUGCAAACAAUGUUUUGGUCUGUUGUAAUUAUUCACGGAAGUGGAUAGUUAUGAGAGUUUCAGAGCAUAAUUUGCAUAAAAGGUGGCGUAAGCUGCCGUUUGAGGAUGAGCCUGCGUCCUAUUAGUUAGUUGGUGAGGUAAUGGCUUACCAAGGCGAUGAUAGGUAGGCGGCCUUAACGGGUGGUCGCCCACACUGGGAUUGAGAUACCGGCCCAGACUCCGUACGGGAGGCAGCAGUCGAGAAUAGUCUACAAUGGACGAAAGUCUGAUAGUGCGACGCCGCGUGAACGAAGAAUCCUUUCGGGGUGUAAAGUUCUUUUAUAUGUGAGCAGUGCUUCUUAUAUUAACAGUAUGGGGAGAGAGAUAUUAGCAUAUGAAUAAGCAACGGCUAACUCCGUG